AGCUCCGAUAGUCUAUGCAAAAGUUGUUGCGGUUAAAAAGCUCGUAGUUGGAUGUCGGUGGGGGCGGGCCGGUCCGCUUCUGGCGCGACUGGUCCUGACCCCCACGAGCUGAGCGGAGGCGUUCGGGUGCUCUUGACCGAGUGUCCGUUCGCGCCGCUCGUUUUACCUUGAAAAAAUGAGAGUGCUCAAGGCAGGCCUGACCAGCCUGAAUUCCUGCGCAUGGAAUAAUGGAAUAGGACGUUGGUUCUAUUCUGUUGGUUUUCGGAACCCGACGUAAUGAUUGACAGGGACAGUCGGGGGCGUUCGUAUUCAGACGCUAGAGGUGAAAUUCUUGGACCGUCUGAAGACGCACUACUGCGAAAGCAUUCGCCAAGAAUGUUUUCA
rnacentral:rRNA from 1 species